rnacentral:lncRNA from 1 species
AAAAGUCACAGGAGCUGCCUGUGGAAAGCCUAGGGAAAACUAGGGGCAUUGCUAAGACCCCCCACUAUUGAGGAAGCCUGAAAGAGACACAUGUGGCCUGGGGACUGCAGUGUGCCUGCACAUGGGGCGUGGACAGUGGCAGACCAGCUCCUAGCCGCACACCCCAUCAGCACCUUUCACCAGCUCAUUGAUGAGCGUGCGCAGAACCUAAACAAAGGAUCCUAAAGCCAGAGAGAAGAGGGCUAAGGACGGGCCCUGUGCAGAGACAGAGCACAGCUGGGAGCAGCACCAGAGCUUUUGACCAGACCUUUUUGGGAGCUGGCCAGAGUGCAGUGUGGCCCUGGCCUGAUGAAUUUCUCUGCCCCUCUCAGAUCACAGCUUUCAAACAGUUUAAAGCGGUGGCCAUUU